GUUGGUGUGGUCCAACGGCUAAGACACCACAUUGUGGCUGUGGAGACCAGGGUUCGACUCCCUGCACUGACA